UGACCUCAAAUCAGGUAGGAAUACAAUACGAACUUAA
rnacentral:rRNA from 1 species